UGCUAUAUUUAUGCUAAGUGUUAGGUGAUAUUAGUGAUGUGAUAUAGUUGAGAUCAUCGGAUUGCUAUUUUAUGGAUGUUAAAAGCUGAGCUUCGAAGUAAAAUCCAAGGG